rnacentral:rRNA from 1 species
UACGGAGGAUCCAAGCGUUAUCCGGAUUUAUUGGGUUUAAAGGGUGCGUAGGUGGGCUGGUAAGUCAGUGGUGAAAUCUCCAGGCUUAACUUGGAAACUGCCAUUGAUACUAUCAGUCUUGAAUACCGUGGAGGUCAGCGGAAUAUGUCAUGUAGCGGUGAAAUGCUUAGAUAUGACAUAGAACACCAAUUGCGAAGGCAGCUGGCUACACGAAUAUUGACACUGAUGCACGAAAGCGUGGGGAUCAAACAGG